CGGGUAUGAACGAUUUAUCGUUCUAAGUGAGUGACGUCACACUGCCAAGAAAAGCUUCUAGUUAGAAUCAGACCGCCCGUACCGCAAACCGACACAGGUAGUCGGGUCGAGAAGACCAAGGUGAGCGAGAGAACUCUCGUUAAGGAACUCGGCAAAAUGACCCCGUAACUUCGGGAGAAGGGGUGCUGAUCGCAAGAUCAGCCGCAGUGAAUAGGCCCAGGCGACUGUUUAUCAAAAACACAGGUUUCUGCAAAAUCGUAAGAUGAAGUAUAGGGGCUGACGCCUGCCCGGUGCUGGAAGGUUAAGAGGAUGGGUUAGCGCAAGCGAAGCUCAGAAUUGAAGCCCCAGUAAACGGCGGCCGUAACAAUAACGGUCCUAAGGUAGCGAAAUUCCUUGUCGGGUAAGUUCCGACCCGCACGAAAGGCGUAACGAUCUGGGCACUGUCUCAACGAGAGACUCGGUGAAAUUAUAAUACCCGUGAAGAUGCGGGUUACCCGCGACAGGACGGAAAGACCCCAUGGAGCUUUACUGUAGCUUGAUAUUGGGUGUUUGUACAACUUGUACAGGAUAGGUAGGAGCCGUAGAAGUCGGGACGCUAGUUUCGACGGAGGCAUCGGUGGGAUACUACCCUCGUUGUAUGAACACUCUAACCCACGCCGGCAAUCACGGCGGGAGACAGUGUCAGGUGGGCAGUUUGACUGGGGCGGUCGCCUCCUAAAAGGUAACGGAGGCGCCCAAAGGUUCCCUCAGAAUGGUUGGAAAUCAUUCGCAGAGUGUAAAGGCAUAAGGGAGCUUGACUGCGAGACCUACAAGUCGAGCAGGGACGAAAGUCGGGCUUAGUGAUCCGGUGAUUCCGCAUGGAAGGGCCAUCGCUCAACGGAUAAAAGCUACCCUGGGGAUAACAGGCUUAUCUCCCCCAAGAGUCCACAUCGACGGGGAGGUUUGGCACCUCGAUGUCGGCUCAUCGCAUCCUGGGGCUGUAGUCGGUCCCAAGGGUUGGGCUGUUCGCCCAUUAAAGCGGUACGCGAGCUGGGUUCAGAACGUCGUGAGACAGUUCGGUCCCUAUCCGUCGCGGGCGCAGGAAAUUUGAGAGGAUCUGUCUUUAGUACGAGAGGACCGGGAUGGACAUACCGCUGGUGUACCAGUUGUUCUGCCAAGGGCAUCGCUGGGUAGCUAUGUAUGGAUGAGAUAAACGCUGAAAGCAUCUAAGUGCGAAACUCACCUCGAGGUG
rnacentral:rRNA from 1 species